AAACCAACAGGGAUUGCCCUAGUAACGGCGAGUGAAGCGGCAACAGCUCAAAUUUGAAAUCUGGCCCUAGGCCCGAGUUGUAAUUUGUAGAGGAUGUUUCUGGUGCGGUGCCUUCCGAGUUCCCUGGAACGGGACGCCAUAGAGGGUGAGAGCCCCGUCCGGUCGUGCGCUAAGCCUAUGUGAAACUCCUUCGACGAGUCGAGUAGUUUGGGAAUGCUGCUCUAAAUGGGAGGUAUACGUCUUCUAAAGCUAAAUACCGGCCAGAGACCGAUAGCGCACAAGUAGAGUGAUCGAAAGAUGAAAAGCACUUUGAAAAGAGGGUUAAAUAGUACGUGAAAUUGCUGAAAGGGAAGCGCUUAUGACCAGACUUGGGCUAGGUGAAUCAUCCGGCGUUCUCGCCGGUGCACUUUGCCUGUCCAGGCCAGCAUCAGUUCACGUCGGGGGAUAAAGGCGUCGGGAAUGUGGCUCCCUCGGGAGUGUUAUAGCCCGGCGUGUAAUACCCUGACGAGGACUGAGGUACGCGCUCCGCAAGGAUGCUGGCGUAAUGGUCAUCAGCGAC
rnacentral:rRNA from 1 species